GACGAACGCUGGCGGCGUGCCUAAUACAUGCAAGUCGAACGCACAGUUUAUACCGUAGCUUGCUACACCAUAGACUGUGAGUUGCGAACGGGUGAGUAACGCGUAGGUAACCUGCCUGGUAGCGGGGGAUAACUAUUGGAAACGAUAGCUAAUACCGCAUAAUAUUGAUUAUUGCAUGAUAAUUGAUUGAAAGAUGCUAUUGCAUCACUACCAGAUGGACCUGCGUUGUAUUAGCUAGUAGGUGAGGUAACGGCUCACCUAGGCGACGAUACAUAGCCGACCUGGGAGGGUGAUCGGCCAAACUGGGACUGAGACACGGCCCAGACUCCUACGGGGGGCAGCAGUAGGGAAUCUUCGGCAAUGGACGAAAGUCUGAACGAGCAACGCCGCGUGAGUGAAGAAGGUUUUCGGAUCGUAAAGCUCUGUUGUAAGAGAAGAACGGGUGUGAGAGUGGAAAGUUCACACUGUGACGGUAUCUUACCAGAAAGGGACGGCUAACUACGUG
rnacentral:rRNA from 1 species